CGCCGGGAUAGGUAGUUUCAGCCCACUCACGUCCCGGAGGUCCUGCGGCGUCCGCUUUGCGGAAUUACCCGUCCCAUGCCGGUGAGCGUGCAGCGUUUGGGUCAUUUGACACAUACCCUGCAGCCGGUCAGAGUCCAAGAGAAGAAAAUGUUUUUAGUUUUAGAAGGAUGAAAGUAUCAAGUAACUUAUGAACGACAGGAAAAUAAGAUUUUGUUAAUGAGCAUAAAAAAUGGUAAAAAUAUCGAGCUCAAACAUUCUUCUCACUGAAGAAAAAAACAAGCCCCUCUUCAUCCUCGUUCAUCAUGGCCAGACAGAGAGUAAAACACAUGUCUGCUCCCUGGUUUUUUGUCUCUUCAGCAUAAUUUAUUUCUUGCUUUGUCUACAGGAUGCAAUCCAGGAUCCUACAUUGCAUUUACUUGUCCUGUCUCCUUCCUCAGCCUUUGUCUUUCAUGACCUGAGGAUCUUUGAAGACUACUGGCCAAGGUGAAGUGUGGAACCCGUAGUGAUUCUGAAGAUGCUCAGUUGACAGGAAAUAAGAAACUUCUGUGCUCUUGCUGCUUCUCUAAGCCAUCAUAGAGGAAAAAUAAAUCUACCCCUUUCUUCAACGAACUCUGGAAUCAACCAACCUCUCUGUGUCCCACCCCUCCUCCCCACCCGCCUCUCAUCCUCCCUCUCUUCCCUCCCUCCACCUCAACCUCUUUUUCUCUUCUUUCUUUUCUUUGAUUAUCAAAUGCAUAUUGAUGAAUAACUGUAGUGCUCAGAGAUAACACUUGUAGUUUAGUAACUUGGUUUUUUAACUUAUGGUUGAAGGAAACAGUUUAUAUAUCAUUUAAAAAUUAGAUUUAUGUACUUUAUGAUAGCUUUAUGUUAACUUUUAAAAUACAGAACCAUUGUGUUAUCUGUUUGACUUUCCACAUCGCAUUUUCACCCCUCUAUUCCCUGUUCUGUGCCACAGGAAACUGACCUUUAUGGAGAGCAUCAGACAAGCUAUCUUGGCUUUUAGUUGAUUGUGGCCAAUGGAAGGCACAGGCAAGUGAUCAGAGGAGGGAGGAAAGAGAGCCUGGUAUUGAUUUUCUCUAGAAGGCCUUGGUUUAGGCAACAACUGAGAUCCUCUAAUUCCUCUACUGCAGGUCAAAGCCCCAUCAGACCCCUGUCCCAAACUGCACCUCACACCAGGUUCUGGAAACAUGACUCCCUCCCCUUGCCCUUUCAAAUGCACAGGUGGUCGGGACUUCCCACCGUUGCUACUUCCUGGUUGCUUCACCACGUCUUGCUUUUCUUUAUAAGUGCCCAUCCCUCCGUGAACAGUCCCUUUUUACCCUCCAUAACCUCUCUCUAAUUACUCCUUUGAAUGUGCCAUCACCUUUUUGCUGGUACCCUAACUGAUUUAACCAUAGCGUAUCUUAUUUCUGGACAUAUACACAGGGAGAAAAAUGUUGCCAACCCCCUUAAAACAAAACAGAAUGGGAAUGAUGUACAUCAGCUUCAGGGUAGUGGUUGUUUCUGAGGAAAAGAGGGAAGGAGGAAAGUGGAGUUAGGGGUUUUAUUUGUUUGUUUUUGUUUGUUUUUAAGCUAUUUCUAAACUGUCUUAGUUCUGAAGCUAACACUUAACAAUAACAACAAAAAAGUAAAAUAAAUAUGGCAAUUAAUUAAUGCUUGUUUAAUCUCAG